rnacentral:rRNA from 1 species
UGGUGACAAUAGCGUUUUGGACCCACCUGACCCCAUGCCGAACUCAGCAGUGAAACGAAACAGCGCCGAUGAUAGUG